rnacentral:rRNA from 1 species
CAGCCGCCGCGGGAAUACGUAGGUCCCGAGCGUUGUCCGGAUUUAUUGGGCGUAAAGGGAGCGCAGGCGGUUUAGUAAGUCUGAAGUUAAAGGCAUUGGCUCAACCAAUGUAAGCUUUGGAAACUGUUAGACUUGAGUGCAGAAGGGGAGAGUGGAAUUCCAUGUGUAGCGGUGAAAUGCGUAGAUAUAUGGAGGAACACCGGUGGCGAAAGCGGCUCUCUGGUCUGUCACUGACGCUGAGGCUCGAAAGCGUGGGUAGCGAACAGGAUUAGAUACCCCGGUAGUCCCUGUCUCUUAUACC